ACAUAUAUUUAUUUAAGUUAAUGGUGGAUGCUUAGGCAAUUUGAGCCGAGGAAGGACGUAUGUCCGAGUACGAUAUCGUCGGUGAGCCCUCCAACAGGCAUUAUUUAACCGGCGGUUUCCGAAUGGGGUAACCCACUUCGUUGUAAAACGAGGAGUCUAUAUCUAGAAGAUAUAGAAGGGAACCUGGUGAACUGAAACAUCUAAGUAAUCAGAGGAAAAGAAAAAAAAUUGAUUCCGUCAGUAGCGGCGAGUGAAAGCGGAAGAGCCUAAACCCGGCCUUCGGGCUGGGGGUUGCGGGACUCGACAUAAUAAAAGUUUGCGAUAGAGGAAUAUUUUGGAAAAAUUAUCCAUAGAAGGUGAUAGACCUGUACUUAAAAUUGUGAACUUUUUGGUUGAGCACCCAAGUACUACGGGACACGGAAAACCCUGUAGGAAGCUGGGGCGGUCAUGCUCCAAGGCUAAAUACUCAAAUUGACCGAUAGUGAACUAGUACCGUGAGGGAAAAGUGAAAAGUCCCCCGGCGAGGGGAGUGAAAUAGAACCUGAAACCAUUGACUAACAAGCAGACAGAGCUCCGAUUUAAUCGGAGUAAUGUCGUGCCUAUUGAAGAAUGAGCCAGCGAGUUUCCGAUUAACUGCUUUAAGGUUAACUAUGUAAAACUUAGGAAGCCAUAGUGAAAGCGAGCCUGAAUAGGGCGACAAAAUGUAGUAAUCGGAGGACCCGAAACGAGGUGAGCUAACCAUGGGCAGGGUGAAUUUCGAUGACCAUCGAGAGGAGGCCCGAACCCGUCGUCGGUGAAAUGACGUGGGAUGAUCUGUGGUUAGAGGUUAUAUGCCUAUCGAACUUCGAGAUAGCUGGUUCUCCCCGAAAUAUAUUUAGGUAUAGCCUUUUCAUCAUAAAGUAACUGGGGUAGAGCUACUGGAUGGUCCCGAGAGCCGCAAGGCAAUCGGGAUCAACCAAACUCCGAAUACAGAAUUACUUGAUGAGAGGAGUCAGACUCGCCUGGAUAAGCAGGUGUGGUCUAAAGGGAUACAGCCCAGAUUUCCAUCUAAGGUCUCCAAAUAUCUAUUUAGUGGCAAAGGAAGUGAAAUUUCAAAUACAGACGGGAGGUUGGCUCAGAAGCAGCCAUCCUUUAAAGAGUGCGUAACAGCUCACCGUAAUAUUUCCGGCUUUGCCGGGAAUGAGAUUUUGCGCUUAAAAUGAUUCGAGUCUAAACAGAUUACCGAAGAUGAAAAUGCUUGUCCUUUGGACAAGAGUUUUUAGAUUACAGAUUUUAGAAUUUAGAUUUUAGAUUAAUGCAAUUAUCUUAAAUCUUAAAUCUACUAUUUAGUGUCUAGAGUCUCUCGUCUAGAGGACGAGUGUGGUAGGGGAGCUUUCUAUUAUCAGCGAAGUCGAGCUGUAAGGCGAGAUGGAGAUAAUAGAAGUGAGAAUGCUGGCAUGAGUAGCGAUUCUCCCGAUGAAAAUUCGGGAUGCCGAAAAUCCAAGGUUUCCUCAGCAACGUAAAUCGACUGAGGGUUAAUCGGAACUAAGUCCCGUACCGAAACGGUCGGGAUCGAUGUAUAAGCCGUUAAAAUUCGGCUAUUUUUUUAUACGCGUUAAUAACUGGUGAAUGACGAGAUUUGAUAUUCUAUAUUUUGCCUUUAAAAAGCAGAAUUUAAGUUACGAGUCUUAAAACUUAACUGAUUUAGGGCGAGUAACGAUGAUUCAACUUUGUCCAACGAUGAAGUUGAACUUGGGAAAUUUAAGUCUCCGGGAAAAGUUCAUUCAGUGAGUUUAUAAUAAAACCGUACCGCAAACCGACACAGGUGGAUUGGUCGAGAAGACUAAGGCUAGCGAGUAAUGAUGGUUCAAGGAACUCGGCAAAAAAGCUGAGCGUAAGAUUUCGAGAUGCUCUUCCCCCGCUUAGCGGGGGAUACAACAAAUGAUUUUCAACUAACUGUUUAACUAAAACACAGGUCCCUGCAAACCCAAAUAGGGGAGGUAUAGGGGCCGAGGCCUGUCCAGUGCCGGUAAGUUAAUCACUUCGGGUGAAGACCGAUUUCGAAAGAUAUUGGUCCAGCUUGGGGUGCAAGCUCCGGUGAACGACAGCUCUAACCCUGAGAGUUCUAAGGUAGCGUAAUCCCUUGCCGGGUAAGUUCCGGCCCGCAUGAA
rfam:Candidatus Roizmanbacteria bacterium RIFCSPLOWO2_02_FTLL_36_11 rifcsplowo2_02_scaffold_306, whole genome shotgun sequence.